GCACUUCACGUGUGCCGAAUACAUUAAAAACAAUAGACAAUGAGGCAUUUCAGUCAUUAUCUAUUGUCUUUAAUGUAUUUGGCACAUGUGAAGC
rnacentral:miRNA from 1 species